CUGGAACUCAUCUCCAACAUCAUCCAGCUGCUGACUGGAGAGGAGCCGGAUAAUCUGAAUAAAGACAGUGCCCUCAGCAAAGAAGGAAUAAAGGAGGAGGAGGAGCCCCAGGAGCUCCGCCAAUUGGCAGCCUGUGAGUAUAAAGAUGGGAGCGAUGUUACAGCACA